AUUUGUUUGGAGUUGUGGUUAGUGCGCUCGGCUGUGGAUCCGGGCGACGUGGGUUCGAUUCCCCCUACCAGAUG
rnacentral:tRNA from 1 species